GUUCGCUUGCAGUGUGUGUUUUCGUAUAUCGCGUAUUUACCUGUUUAUUUUAAUAACCUUUGGACUGUUAUAAUCAUGUGCUGUGAUUAACCUUUAUCUUUAGGAGGUUUUGGAACAUUAUACCGCCCCAGAUUUUCGACUACUAAAGCCUCAAAAAUCUCGUAAGGCCAUGGCAGUUUUCCAGCACAGGUGUGUGUCCCUCUGCAGCUGGGGACAGACCUGCUCCUCACCAGAGGACCAGUAAAUGUCCAGUGCAGGCCUGUGGACACAUCACUUUUUUUUCAGAUUCUCCCACUCAAGUUAUUGAGGAGAAUUUGAAAUGUAAAUAUCCCAGUAUAUUAUAUCUGAAAUCUCACCUAAACUCUUUACCCACUGCUUAAAUUUUACUGCCAUAUACACUAUAUUGCCAAAAGUAU